rnacentral:lncRNA from 1 species
UGCAGAUGGAGACAGCAGCCAUGAAAUUAAAAGACGCCUGCUUCUUGGGAGGAAAGCGAUGACAAACUUUGACAGCAUCUUAAAAAGCAGAGACAUCACCUUGCCAACAAAAGUCCGAAUAGUCAAAGCUAUGGUUUUUCCUGUAGUGUUUCAUGGAAGUGAGAGCUGGACCAUAAAGAAAGCUGACUGCCAAAGAAUUGAUACUUUUAAAUUGUGGUGCUGGAGGAGGCUCUUGAGAGUCCCUGGACUGCAAAGAGAACAAACCUAUCCAUUCUAAAGGAAAUCAACCCUGGGUGCUCACUGGAAGGACAGAUUCUGAAGCUGAGGCUCCAAUACUUUGGCCAUCUCAUGAGAAGAGAAGACUCCCAAAAAAGACCCUGUUGGGAAAGUGUGAAGGCGAGACGAGAAGGGGACGACAGAGGAUGAGAUGGUUGGACAGUGUCAUCGAAGCAACCAACAUGAAUUUGACACAACUCUGGGAGGCAGUGGAGGAUAGGAGGGCCUGGCGUGCUCUGGUCCAUGGAGUCACGAAGAGACUGACACGGCUGAAUGACUGAACAAACGAACUAUAUACUUUUAAUCAACAUCCAUUUUAUAGUACUUAUAAUUUCAUUCUCGCUUGUUCAAUAUAUAUUAAUCUUAUCAAAUCACUCUCCUAACUCUCUCAGUUCAAUUCCCUAACUCUCCUCUUCUCUCACCUAAACCCUAACUGCUAUUCCACAUCCCCAACUGUCUCCUAACUGUCUGUCUCUUCAACACCCCUCUUGAUUCUGCCCCUCCUGUCUUCUCAUUGGCUCUUCCCCUUGAGCUUCCAAUGAUGGACAGGCACGACGUGAGGGUUUCGCUACAGUCGUAAGUAGGGAUGUCCAUAAGUCGAGGCACCACUGUACAGCCUAAACCAAAAGGCAAGUACAGUAAGAGGCAGAACCAGCCAAGGGAGCCCAAAAUAAGGGAAAAGAGGCAAAGCGGGCAUUUUUCAAGGAAAUGUGGCACAUUCAAUCCCGCACUGUCCCGUUUCUCCAUUUGCCAUUGUGCACACCUGCACUUCGGCCUGAUCAAAUUCUGGAAGCUUCUAGGACAGCCACUGAGGACGUACUGUACAUGGGAUAUAUGUGUUCAGUAUUCUCAUCCAGAUGCUGAACUCUCCAGAGAAGUCAGGUGGAACAUCAGGGAGGAAUUCUCCAUCUCUUUCCUCCUGUGCAGGAACUGUCAUUUUGGAAAAUGAGCAUUCAGGUAAGCAGCCACAGCCAACAGAACUUUUUUGUUACUUGUUUGUUUGCUUGCUUUUAAAAAACACACUUGUUGAAGCAACACAGAGCAAACACGGGCUGUGAGAUAGCAUAGCAGUGGUCAGUUCCCCCCCCUUUUUUUUUUAAUUGUUUGAAACCAAAUUAUUUCUCCUUAUUUUUCAGGACUCUCUCCCUGGUUUCCCUCUCCGCAUGCAUUACAUUUAGAACAGUGUCAGGUGGCUGGA